UUUUUAAAUCUCUUGUUUUGACCCCUACUUAUUAAGUUUGGACCUUUUCGUAAUUUUCAAUUUUCGAGAGACUCGGCGGCAUAUUAUUACCUAAUUAGCCCCUAAUUUAAUUAGAUCUUCCUAUGCCAACCCUCACCCGAUCUCUCUUUUUCCCCCGCACGACUCUCUCUCUCCUCCUUCACCUCGCCCGUAUGCCACUGUCGCUCCUCACGUGCGCGUGCGACGCUAUCCGAUCCCUACCGUCAUCGUCGUUAUCCGUGGCCGCAACUGCCGCAACCCUUUUUGCUUGAUCUCUAUCGGCAUUUUUGGUUCGUCGUCGACGGUAUCUCGUCGUCGUUGUCUCCGUCUUUGAAGAGGUUCCGGUGAUUGAUUUUUCGUGCAAUUUUCGACUGGAUAGCUUAGCUUAGAAGCCGCUUUUGAGCAGGUAUGCGGUGUCUGUUAUGCCUCAGGUUUGGGGCGUGACAGUAUUAUACAAGUUAGUCAAGGUUCCUGGACAUUCCUAAGCUUCAAAUAGCAAAAUUACCUAGCUUCAGGUGCAUAUCGGAAUAAAAUAUAUUACAGAGGCCUAAUUACAUUCUGAUAACUAAACAAGAAGAUAUUCCAUGGAUGCACUUUUUCUAAAAAGAAAUUGAUGUUUAUCUAAAAGAAAAACUGAAAAUCAAAAGGAUAAAAUAAGUCAGAAGUAAUUAUAAUUCUUGAAAUCAACGAAGGUGAUGCACGAGGAAAAUCAUCAUUUGUCUCGCACAUACAUCGGCAUUGUCUCUAUUCUAGCUCUUCCAAACAGAAACUAUAGCAGUUGCUCGCCAAGAUUCAUGACUAAGCCUUCUCCCUACUCUUUAUCAAGAGCAGGUUGACAAGCUGCCCUUGCAUGAUUCCACUCCAAAGUACGUCCACAUAUUUACUAAUGAGAUGCACUAUCUUAUUGACAGAACGUUAGAACAUAUCAACUUAUUGUGUAUCUGAAGACAAAUGAUUACUAGUUAAAUCUCACGCAUGAUAGCAUCUGCAGUCUCUUGGCUCCUGCUGUAGGAUAUUUACUGAGUCUCGUUAAAUAAACCAAAAAACCAACAUCUAUUGGAGAAAGGUGAGAUAUAGAAGAAGGAUGGUUGGGUGUCCUUCUAGUAGAUCAUAAAAAGAAGAAGAUAAGAGGGGAAAAUGAAAGACCAUGAUAUUUUAGAAAGCAAUCUUACAGGGGUCGAUGGAAUGGCUCAAAUAAAAAGACAACGGGACAUUCUUCUUCGUUAUCUUUUCAGAAGAAUAAGCACAAGUACCUUUCUCUUGCAUUGAUUUGAGGCAAUUUUUCUUGAGUGGAGAUCUCCAACCUUUCCAUUUUAGCAUAACACGAUCUUUAUAUAAUCAUUGUAUAGUUAUUUGAAAGGUAAGGAUCAAUAGUUUCACAAGAUAGCAUAAAAUUUCACAGAGCAAGCAUUUUCUGGGUGUGAUUUCAACUUUACUCCUAUAUCUUUUGGUGAUCAAAUUACAAGCAUUUGGAAAAGUCAUGUAAUUAUGUUUAGACCAAUAA